rnacentral:rRNA from 1 species
UACGAAGGGGGCUAGCGUUGUUCGGAAUUACUGGGCGUAAAGCGCACGUAGGCGGACUAUUAAGUCAGGGGUGAAAUCCCGGGGCUCAACCCCGGAACUGCCUUUGAUACUGGUAGUCUCGAGUCCGGAAGAGGUGAGUGGAAUUCCGAGUGUAGAGGUGAAAUUCGUAGGUAUUCGGAAGAACACCAGUGGCGAAGGCGGCUCACUGGCCCGGUACUGACGCUGAGGUGCGAAAGCGUGGGGAGCAAACAGG